GUCCCUUCCGAUACUCCAAUUUAUUAAUAUCUCUCUCAAAGUUAUUAUGCCCUGCUAUGAGUAUUCUCCCUUUCGC
rnacentral:tRNA from 1 species